AGGGGUAGAGCUCAGUGGCAGAGCACAUGGUUGGCACGCAUGAGGUCCUGGGUUCAAUCCCCAGUGCCUCCA
rnacentral:tRNA from 1 species